GACAGAGGAGCCAAGCGUUGUCCGGACUGACUGGGCGUAAAGCGCCCGCAGGCGGCCUGAUGCGUGGGGUGUGAAAGCUGGCGGCUUAACUGCCAGAGGCCAUCCCAUACGGUCGGGCUGGAGCCGCGCAGAGGCUGGUGGAAUUGCCGGUGUAGUGGUGAAAUGCGUAGAGAUCGGCAGGAACACCGAGGGGGAAACCAGCCAGCUGGGCGCGUGCUGACGCUGAGGGGCGACAGCGUGGGGAGCGAACCGG
rnacentral:rRNA from 1 species